UACAGAGGGUGCGAGCGUUGUCCGGAAUCACUGGGCGUAAAGGGCGCGUAGGUGGUGGCUUAAGCGUGCGGUGAAAGCUCGGGGCUCAACUCCGAGUCGGCCGUGCGAACUGGGCUCACUGGAGCAUAGUAGAGGCAGGUGGAAUUCCGGGUGUAGCGGUGGAAUGCGUAGAUAUCGGGAAGAACACCAGUGGCGAAAGCGCUCUACUGGGCCAUAACUGACACUGAGGGACGAAAGCUAGGGGAGCGAAAGGG
rnacentral:rRNA from 1 species